UGGGGAAUUUUGGACAAUGGGCGCAAGCCUGAUCCAGCCAUGCCGCGUGCGGGAAGAAGGCCUUCGGGUUGUAAACCGCUUUUGUCAGGGAAGAAAUCUUCUGAGUUAAUACCUCGGGAGGAUGACGGUACCUGAAGAAUAAGCACCGGCUAACUACGUGCCAGCAGCCGCGGUAAUACGUAGGGUGCAAGCGUUAAUCGGAAUUACUGGGCGUAAAGCGUGCGCAGGCGGUUUUGUAAGACAGAGGUGAAAUCCCCGGGCUCAACCUGGGAACUGCCUUUGUGACUGCAAGGCUUGAGUGCGGCAGAGGGGGAUGGAAUUCCGCGUGUAGCAGUGAAAUGCGUAGAUAUGCGGAGGAACACCGAUGGCGAAGGCAAUCCCCUGGGCCUGCACUGACGCUCAUGCACGAAAAGCGUGGGGAGCAAAACAGGAUUAGAUACCCUGGUAGUCCACGCCCUAAACGAUGUCAACUGGUUGUUGGGAAGGUUCCUUCUCAGUAACGUAGCUAACGCAUGAAGUUGACCGCCUGGGGAGUACGGCCGCAAGGUUGAAACUCAAAGGAAUUGAC
rnacentral:rRNA from 1 species